rnacentral:ncRNA from 1 species
CGAGGAAGGGCAUAGCAAUCGACGAAAUGCUUCGGGGAGUUGAAAAUAAGCAUAGAUCCGGAGAUUCCCGAAUAUGGCAACCUUUCGAACUGCUGCUGAAUCCAUGGGCAGACAAGAG